rnacentral:lncRNA from 1 species
CUCAUUCUGCCUCCAUCUGUCUCCAGGACACACAGCUCUGCAGGCUGUAGUAACAGAGGACUUCAGCUUUCCACGGGAGCGACUCAGAUCACCAAGGAUGUGGGGGAUAAAUGACAGCCACCAAAUGGGCUGGACAAGUAACCACUCCGGCUCGUGGAGGGUUCAAGACUCCAUGCAGUUGGUGACACUGCACAGAUGCAGGUACUAGUUGCCGAGGGAUCAUGGCUGUACAAGGUCACACACAGAUGCUUCAGUUAAUGAGUGGAGAAAUCUGUCGACCUAUGGUUCACCUUCUCUUUCUCCUUGGCCAUCAGCAUCCUGACCUCCACGCUUCUUGAUUUCCUCAGGCUCUGGACCUUUCUGCGUCUGGAACAUCUCACUAGAGAAUCUAUGUCCUUUUUUGUCCCUCUAUCUCUGAGUUUGAAUAUGACCCCCAUCUCCAUCCUUCCACCUUUAUUUGUGAUGGUCAAUUUGUCACUCUGGAAGAUGGUCAUUUUACAUUAAUGAGUGAGCGCCUGGUAGAUACUUCCAUCAGAGAAAUAUGCCUGGAGAAAAAGCAUGAUUACAAGUUGGCCUGUAUGUGUAUACACAAAAGUAGAGUUAAAUUUCUUUCCUUCUUAUGUAGUCCUUGAUUUCCCAGCCAAGAAAAUUAGUGACCAUUGCUUCCAUAACACAGGAGGUUCCUAAUCUUGCCCAGCACUCCAUUAUCGUGGAAGACUUAAAACUAUGGUUUUGGUUCUGGCUCUCCUAAUGGUGAAACUAAAAAUGAAAAUGGAGAGGCUGAGAUCAAAGUCAGCAUGCUAUACGGACAAAGAAGCUAGGAACAUAACCAGGAGUGCUUAGCUCUGAUGUGGAGAAUGGAACUUUAUGCCACAGAGGAGAGCUGAAACGGAGCGAUGGAGUCAACAGUACCACGCAAGGGAGUUGUCAUGGAAACACUCAUGGGAGAGCCGGCAAUUGGAUUUUGGAAACUGAUUAAAGCAAGACUUGAUGGUGAGAAAGAAGUAAAACAGAAAGAGAAAAAUAUGAAGUCAGACACCGGAGAUGGAGUGGAGAGUGGAGUUACGUGGCCACGGAGUGGCGAGGGAACACGCCAUUAUUGCAAGACAUGGAACAGGACAGGUUUGAGAGGCAGAUCUGUCCAGCCAGGACACCAAUGAGCAACUGUGCUAGAAUUUCCCUUUUGUAGCACCACAGGGCUCGUGACUCAGCCUGCAGAACAACGUGAUAGGUGGGUGGACUCUCUUGAAAGAUAUUUCCAAGAAGAUUAGGUAGUGUGUUUGUAUCUGUAUCUUGCUUUUAGCAGAAAUUAUUUCCACUUAAAUAUGAAGAGGAGAGGCCAGUAAGAAGCUGCUGCUGUUCUAUUUUGGUAUGAUUUCUGCGGUCCAUUUUGCAUGUGGACACGAGGGCUGUCCAGGCAUCGUAAUGACUGACUUCCCUGCUUUCUGCCUGAAACAGAUCCUGGCAUUAAAUGAUUACAUGGGCUUCUAACAUUGGCACGUGUAAUACACAUGGAUUGGUUUUCCAUAAAUUACCUCUUAAAGAAGGGUCUGUAGUCCUAGAUGUACACAUGUGGUUAGAAAAUUUUCCAGAGAGGAAAAGCAGAGAGGGAGCCAGAGAAAAGAAAGGACUCUUUCAGAAUCACAGAGGAGCUCCGGGGGGCGGGCGUGAGAGAGCAAGCAAUGGUAGGAGAGGCCAGUUCCCCCGAAAUAUGGAACAGGAGCUUCAGCGGGGCAGUAAAUAAGCCCUUAAAAAUACUGCGGGCGAGGAGAAAGUUAA